GAGUCCUUAGGGUACUGUACAGCAAGAGAUACUCUGGUCUGCGUUCCCCCUUGCAUCUGGAAUCCCUUGCAUCUCUAGGAGCAGACUAGGCGGCAGGGAAGGGGGAUUCAUCGGAGGGAGAGCAUGGAGAGAUCCCAAAUCUGACCGGAGGCUGGAGUUUCUGGUAAGAGAGGAAGCGCCGGGCCGGGCAGGCACCGGGGAAACCCAGCGCCAGGCCGCAGCGGGCACCGCCGCCCCUGUCAUCUCGCGCCGCCGGCCAUUGUACGGAGCCAUCACAGGCUCAUAAGAUUGAACGGGUUUGGGGCAGCAAUAUCUGUCAUGCGUUCAUAUUUAAGCAGUCAUCAUGCAGAACUACAGCAAGCUCAACAAGCUGCCCACGAUCGUUGAAGAGGAUGACUCAGACAGGGGCGACGGGUAUGACGGUCCUACUUAGAUGUUCAGUGCAGAAGGUUUACUCUUUUAUAUCAUAUAGUUUGACCAGCAGAAAAGAGACAUUGUUAUCUCUAUGGGUUGGGGUGGCACUCUAUCCAUCCCACUGAUUAGCAAGUUGAGCGUCAGACAUAUGGUUUGGCUUUUAGGGAUGGUGGAUAAGGUUAGACAAGCCAUUAUCUUGGGGCCGAAUAAGGUAUUUAAGUUCAACGAGAGCGACGUUGAGAAGAUAUACGGAAUCCCGGCAGCUGGAACAGAUGUGAUGGACAAAACCCAGGAAUAAUGGUUAUAUACGCGUACAAAGAACUGAUUAAUGGUAUAUGAAUCCAGAAACUCAUUAUAUUACUAUCAUGCAUGUUUGCAGGCACCUGUCCGGUUUUUACACCGUGAACUUCUGCCGAAAUUUCAUUGGCGACCAAGCGAGUCAUGAUAUUCACGUGGUGAGUAUGCUGAUCUAGACAUCGUUCAGACAAAAGAGAUAUAAUGGAGCAUUAGUAGUUCUAUUUUCCCUGAAUAUUUUUUCUUCCGGUCUGUAAAUUAUUUGAUGAUGUUUUCACAAGGGAUCGCCUGGAACUCAUUAUGUCUCAGUCACGUGAUGUCACACUGCAUGCCAAGGUCCAAUUCG